GAUGAACGCUGGCGGCGUGCCUAAUACAUGCAAGUCGAGCGAACAGAUGAGGAGCUUGCUCCUCUGACGUUAGCGGCGGACGGGUGAGUAACACGUGGAUAACCUACCUAUAAGACUGGGAUAACUUCGGGAAACCGGAGCUAAUACCGGAUAAUAUAUUGAACCGCAUGGUUCAAUAGUGAAAGACGGUUUUGCUGUCACUUAUAGAUGGAUCCGCGCCGCAUUAGCUAGUUGGUAAGGUAACGGCUUACCAAGGCGACGAUGCGUAGCCGACCUGAGAGGGUGAUCGGCCACACUGGAACUGGGACACGGUCCAGACUCCUACGGGAGGCAGCAGUAGGGAAUCUUCCGCAAUGGGCGAAAGCCUGACGGAGCAACGCCGCGUGAGUGAUGAAGGUCUUCGGAUCGUAAAACUCUGUUAUUAGGGAAGAACAAAUGUGUAAGUAACUAUGCACGUCUUGACGGUACCGAAUCAGAAAGCCACGGCUAACUACGU
rnacentral:rRNA from 1 species